AUAAAGUGGAGACUAGAACCCACUUAAAAAAAAAGGGCGUAUUCCGAAAAGCCUAAUGAGUAGGA
rnacentral:ncRNA from 1 species